rnacentral:rRNA from 1 species
AUGAAGGCGGUGGCAAACCAACCAGUGUCUGUAGCUGUGGACGGAGGAGACAUGACGUUCCAAUUCUACUCUGGUGGGGUGAUGACUGGGUCCUGCGGCACUGACUUGGACCAUGGAAUUGCAGCCAUUGGAUAUGGAAAGACUAGUGAUGGCACGAGCUAUUGGUUGAUGAAGAAUUCAUGGGGCACAACUUGGGGCGAAGAUGGGUACUUGAGAAUGGAGAAAGACAUUGCAGACAAGAAGGGCAUGUGUGGUCUUGCCAUGGAGCCUUCUUACCCAACAAAAUAG